rnacentral:tmRNA from 1 species
GGGGGUGACUGGUUUCGACUUCGUACGUUGCGGCAGGGGAAGCGAGCCGAGGAAGCCGACGUCGUCUCGUGAAUCGGUCGUCGGAAACCAAUAAGCGCCAACUCCAAGCGCGCUGACUUCGCUCUCGCCGCCUGAGGCGAGUAGCAAGUCUGUCGGUCUGGGACUGCCUUCGGCCCAGUAACCGGCAUCAGUGAGAGGGCUGGCCUAGCGAACCCGGUCGCGGGGUUCGUGCGGCGAGAUCAAACGCGGCUGGGCCCGUCACAUCGACUCGCUCGCGUGAUCGAUGGGGCCGAGUAGAGGCACAGCGAGCUGCGCUCGGAGAAGCCCUGGCAAGACGCCGAAGGACCCGGGUUCGAUUCCCGGCACCUCCACGG